rnacentral:rRNA from 1 species
GAUGAACGCUAGCUACAGGCUUAACACAUGCAAGUCGAGGGGAAACGAUAGGGAAAGCUUGCUUUUUCUAGGCGUCGACCGGCGCACGGGUGAGUAACGCGUAUCCAACCUGCCCAUCACUUGGGGAUAACCUUGCGAAAGUAAGACUAAUACCCAAUGACGUCUCUAGAAGACAUCUGAAGGAGAUUAAAGAUUUAUCGGUGAUGGAUGGGGAUGCGUCUGAUUAGCUUGUUGGCGGGGUAACGGCCCACCAAGGCGACGAUCAGUAGGGGUUCUGGGAGGAAGGUCCCCCACAUUGUAACUGAGACACGGUCCAAACUCCUACGGGAGGCAGCAGUGAGGAAUAUUGGUCAAUGGACGAGAGUCUGAACCAGCCAAGUAGCGUGCAGGAAGACGGCCCUAUGGGUUGUAAACUGCUUUUAUAAGGGAAUAAAGUGAGUCUCGUGAGACUUUUUGCAUGUACCUUAUGAAUAAGGACCGGCUAAUUCCGUGCCAGCCGCCGCCGUAA